AAUUAAUAAUAACAAUAAAGAGAAACAAAAGCGCCGAUUGUCAUUCUAGCCUCUAGGUCUCUAACUCACUAUCAUGUUUGCUCUCAUUUGAUUCUAAGAAAGAAAGGGUUUUGUUUAGCAAAAAACAGAAAAAGAAAGAAAGGGUUUUCUGUCAUUCUUUAUUUCUCAUAGACCUUCUAGCAAUCCACCACUGACCAUCUCCUCUACUCGCCGCCAGCAAGGAUCUAUUGUACAGAAGAAAAGAGGUUAAGGAAAGGCUAAGGGUGUUUAUCCAUGCCAUAGCUACAAGUGUGAGAUACAUGACAGAAGAUUCUUAAGUCCGAAAAUAUUCUUUGAAAUGACUAGACCUCCUACUCGUGGUCGUGUGCUUGGCAUGGGUGCUGAUGUCAAGCCUAGAGAUGCAUAUGGCCCAAGUUCAUCUAGCCAGUGUAGUAAGUGAUGUCAAGGGGAUUGCUUAAAAGAAAAGGAGGAUUUUGAGCUUCGUUUGAAAGAAAUAGAGGAUUAAAGGUCUAUUGAGAAAAUGGAAUUUGAGGGAAUAAUUAGUCAAUUGAAAGAGGAAAUGCCUCUUAUUAUAGCAAAUGUUUUGAAAUCGAUGGGCCUUAAUUCUAUGCAAGAACUUACUACACAGAUCAAUGCUAGAGGUGGUGAUCAAAAUGUGGACGAAAAUAGAGAAGAUGACUCUGAGGAGGAAACUCUCAAAAGAAGGACAAUGACUCAUAUAAUGAUUAGUCUUCUAAUAUUUAUGUUUUCAAGUUUAGUGAAAGAUAUUAUAGCUUUCAUGUACUAAUGAAAUCUGAUGCUAUUUUGUAGAUGUUUUAAUAUUUUUGUUUUUAUUGCAUUAUGCACUACAAUAAUGGAUUUGUGCUAGUUAUUUGAAUGGAGAAACUUUUGGGAGAUUUAUGUUUCCUUGCAAUUAAAGUAUUGGAAAUAAUCUCUCUUUUAUUACCA